rnacentral:pre_miRNA from 1 species
UCAUAUGGAUGCACAAAGGAAGUGGUUUCUUGAGAUGGAGCCUACUCCUGAUAAAGAUGCCAUGAA